rnacentral:rRNA from 1 species
CCCGUACCCAUCCCGAACACGGAAGAUAAGCCCGCCUACGUUCCCUUGAGUACUGGAGUGCGCGAGCCUCUGGGAAAUCCGGCCCGAAAGGGU